rnacentral:tRNA from 1 species
GUUCUUAUAGUUGAAUAACAACGGUGGUUCUUCAAGUCACUAGUCUUGGUUAAAACCCAAGUAAGAAUU